UAAAACACCGAUUCUCGCAGGAUCACAGAAUUUAAGCAACGCCGGGCCUGAUCAGUAUUUAGAUGCGUGACGGCUUGGGAUUAUCAGGUGCUGUAA